GACGAACGCUGGCGGCGUGCCUAAUACAUGCAAGUCGAACGCAGUGGGGACGGGUGAGUAACACGUGGGUAACCUCCCAUCAGAGGGGAUAACACUUGGAAACAGGUGCUAAACCGAUACUGAUGGAUGGACCCGCGGUGCAUUAGCUAGUUGGUGAGGUAACGGCUCACCAAGGCCACGAUGCAUAGCCGACCUGGGGUGGUGAUCGGCCACACUGGUACUGUGGCACGGCCCCGCGUCCGAGGGGAGUCAGGAGGGGGGAAUUGUCGGCUAUGGACGAAAGUGUGCCCGAGCAACGCAGCGAGAGUGAAGAAGGGUUUCGGAUCUUAAAAUUCUGUUGUUCGAUAAGCGGUAUCUAACCAGGAAGCCACGGCUAACUACGUGCCAGCCGCCGCGGUAAUUC
rnacentral:rRNA from 1 species